AGUUGGUUUUUAACUGCCUAGCAGGACAAGAGGCCAUAUGCAGUUUUCCCCUUGACUGAUCUUUGCUUCUUGUGGCUUAUUCCACAAACAAGAGGCAGAAUGGCAUAUACAGAACCCUGCAAAGGCCCAGCCUCAUCACAAGAGAGGAACAGACCAUAGAGGGGUGGGGCAGAAAGAGGAAUGAUUUUUUUUUAACUGCGCCUUUUAAACUGCGAAGCAGCUAAGCUCCAUAUAUACAGAAGAGCCCCAUGGAAGUCUGGGUGUAUAUAGGGGUAUGUUUUCCAGAAUGGCUUGGUUUCCUGAAGCCUACUGCAAUUGUUGAAGUGAUUUGCCCACUCUAGAGAAGGUAUAUGAAGCGGAAAUGGAAUAUGAAGAGAUAUUCGUACAACGGAACAAGGUCAUUGAAUUUCAGAACAGAGUCAUGAUUAUAAAAAAAGAGUUUCCACCAUAUGUAAAAAGACUAUGAUGUUAUACACAGAAAAAAAGGCCAAAGAUGAAAGUUCUGAAACUAUAUACUUCUCAGAGAGGAAUCCAACAAACGCCUUUGCCAAAUCAUGUUGGGAGCUGGUUAAAAUGCAGAAUCUUGAACCCCACCCUAGAGAUACAGAUCUGGACAUGGGACCCUAUUACCUACGUUUUCAACACAAAAGUUUAGGAAUCACCACUAUAAACAAUGCACUGUGAAAUAAGUUAUAUUGUAAAGACCCAAACCUUGGAAGUUUUUAUACCCUGAGAGUUCCAAGGAGUGCCACUUCCAGUUCCAGAGGUCUUGGAUUUGAAAUGUACGUAGGCAAAACUGACUGGACUUUUUCUGUGCAAAUACACUAUUUCUAUGGAAAAAUAA